rnacentral:tRNA from 1 species
GUCCCUGUAGCACACUGGAUAGCGAGUUGAACUUUUAAUCCAAAGGUCGUGAGUUCGAAUCCCACCUGGGAUG